rnacentral:snRNA from 1 species
UAACUUACCUGGGGGACAUUCCAUGAUCACGAAGGUGGUUUUUCCAGGGCAAGGCUUAUCCAUUGCACUCUAGAUGUGCUGACCUCUGCGAUUUCCCCAGUUGUGGGAAACUCAACUACAUAAUUUGUGGUAGUGGGGGACUGCCUUGCACCCUGG